UCAGUAACAGAGAAAAACCAAGUAUUUCUCCUUCUUUCGUUCGCCCCUUAUCAUUUCAUCAUUCAGAUCUCAGAUCUCUCCAAUCUAGCACCACGAUCUCCGCCCUCCCCCCUUCCCCUUUUCUCAAGAACCCAGACCCGGAACACUUCCGGAGCACCAGCCCAUCACCGUCCUUACUCCUCCUCCUCUCUCUCAGCUUCAGUCAUCCUCUCUUGCUCAUACUUAAGAUAUGCCCAGAAACCCUAAUCCCCAAAUUAACUCGCCUAAUUCACCGUAGCAAAUUGAUAAUUCGUUUUUAGGCAGAAGGAGAUGAAUGGGUAAGUUGCUCUCCAAAAUUGGAUUGGUACUGUCCAAUUCUCAGACGAGAUUACAAGAAAGGCGUGGGGAAGGACCGAAGGAGUGGCACACCAUUUCUCACAUCCCAAUUCCCAAACGUCUCAAUUCGAUGAAGACUGGAGAAGAGAUUUAAAGAUGCAAAAUCAGUUGAAGAAGGUGUAUUGCAACUGUCGUUUCAAGUGCUAUGUAGCCACGAUCAGCUGUUGCUAGUAGAUACUGCUUCCUAUGAUGAAUUGAAAGCUGCCAACCAAAAUUAGCAAAGCGCAAAUUGGAGUUGAGUCAGCAGCUCUUGAACAGCCUAGGGAAUGAAAAACCCAAAGCAUGACAAAAAUCUGAAGUCACAAAAACAAGAACUGUCAUUUAUAUGGAAAAUUAUUGCUGGAGGCUGAUGAAGAGGAAUAUGAAGGUGAUGAAGAGGUUAUCAAAAGCGGUAUCAGUUUAUUCCAAGCAACUUCAAGGGGUUACGACAAUUUUGGCUUAUUAGUUUAUUCCGAAGUCUUCAAGGUGCUAUUGUUGGAAGGAGACCAUCAAAUGAUUGCAUGCCAAGCAGUACCUGUUGUUACUACUUACUAGUACUUGACAGAUUUCUUGCUUGACAGUUUCUUCUAGAGAUCAGACAUGUCAGUCUUUCAUGGAGAAGGAGUUGCAGAUAUCUUACCUAGAAAUAAGGCUGCAGAAUCAAUGAAUUUGUAUGUUAAUUUUUUUUAAUUUCAAAUUAUUACAGUCACCAAUGAUAGAUAGUGGGUUCUUUUAUGGUGUCUCCAUAGUUUGGAAGUUACCAAUUCUGGUGUUGGGGCCCACACAUUUGACUGUCACCAAAAAAGUGAGUGUGCUUUUUAAGAAUGUCACGCCAGCAAAGCCCACAUUUGGAUCAUUAGCGUGUAAGGCCGUGUCCAAUGCCAUUGCACACCAGUCAUGGGUGUCUAUACACAAUGCACAUCAUUAACAAUGGUGUGUGUUGCCCACAUUUCUGGUAGUG